CGCCGGUAAGGUGAUAUGAACCGUUAUAACCGGCGAUACCCGAAUGGGGAAACCCAGUGUGACUCGUCACACUAUCAUUAACUGAAUCCAUAGGUUAAUGAGGCGAACCGGGGGAACUGAAACAUCUAAGUACCCCGAGGAAAAGAAAUCAACCGAGAUUCCCCCAGUAGCGGCGAGCGAACGGGGAGGAGCCCAGAGCCUGAAUCAGCAUGUGUGUUAGUGGAAGCGUCUGGAAAGGCGCGCGAUACAGGGUGACAGCCCCGUACACAAAAGCGCAUGUGCUGUGAGCUCGAUGAGUAGGGCGGGACACGUGGUAUCCUGUCUGAAUAUGGGGGGACCAUCCUCCAAGGCUAAAUACUCCUGACUGACCGAUAGUGAACCAGUACCGUGAGGGAAAGGCGAAAAGAACCCCGGCGAGGGGAGUGAAAAAGAACCUGAAACCGUGUACGUACAAGCAGUGGGAGCACAGGUUUACCUGUGUGACUGCGUACCUUUUGUAUAAUGGGUCAGCGACUUAU
rnacentral:rRNA from 1 species